AUGGAAAGAUUCAGGUGAAGAUAAUUACUGCGGGUUAUGUUGAUGAUAAAGACGAUGUUCAUCUACUGUCUGCAGAGGAUACCAGUGCAUUUAAAAAUAUGAUUGUCUCCAUUCUGGGCGGGGACCAUGAGGCAGCAGAGGAAGAGGUUCGACAAUCAAACAUGGAGUCAAACUACAACAAAGUCUGGGGUAAAAAUAGGAGGAAAUCCCCCGAGGUGGUUCCAUAAGUAGCCUACAGAAUCGCACCACUCAGUGUCUUUCAUAAUUUUUUUUGUUUUAUUUUCUUGGUUGGUUAUUGGAUACAUUUUGUCUAUGGACAGGUUAAAAUUUAUUUAUUUUGAUGAUGAAAAUCAAAGUAAUUUUUUUUUGCCUGUGUGUAAAUGGAUAUGCAAGUGUAUUUGUGUGUACAGUGUAUAUGUAUAUGUUUUUUUGGU